rnacentral:rRNA from 1 species
GAACCCUGACGGAGCAACGCCGCGUGCGGGAGGACGGCCUGUGGGUUGUAAACCGCUUUUCUCAGGGAAGAAGUUCUGACGGUACCAGAGGAAUCAGCAUCGGCUAACUCCGUGCCAGCAGCCGCGGUAAUACGGAGGAUGCAAGCGUUAUCCGGAAUUAUUGGGCGUAAAGCGUCCGUAGGCGGUGAGUUAAGUCUGCUGUCAAAGCCUGCAGCUCAACUGUGGAGUGGCAGUGGAAACUGAUUGACUAGAGUGCGAUAGGGGUAGAGGGAAUUCCCAGUGUAGCGGUGAAAUGCGUAGAUAUUGGGAAGAACACCAGUGGCGAAGGCGCUCUACUGGGUCGCAACUGACGCUGAGGGACGAAAGCUAGGGGAGCG